UGAGAACUGGCUGCAGCUAGGCCACUCAGC
rnacentral:piRNA from 1 species